GGCUCGUUGGUCAAGCGGUUAAGACAUUGGCCUCUCACGUCAAUAACGCGGGUUCGAUUCCCGCACGAGUCACCA
rnacentral:tRNA from 1 species